rnacentral:rRNA from 1 species
GAUGAACGCUGGCGGCGUGCUUAACACAUGCAAGUCGAACGAAGCAAUUAAGAAGAAGUUUUCGGAUGGAAUCAUAAUUGACUUAGUGGCGGGCGGGUGAGUAACGCGUGGGUAACCUGCCUCAUACAGGGGGAUAACAGUUGGAAACGACUGCUAACACCGCAUAAGCCUACAGUAUCGCAUGGUACAGUAGGAAAAUAUUUAUAGGUAUGAGAUGGACCCGCGUCUGAUUAGCUAGUUGGUAAGGUAACGGCUUACCAAGGCGACGAUCAGUAGCCGACUUGAGAGAGUGAUCGGCCACAUUGGGACUGAGGCACGGCCCAA